rnacentral:rRNA from 1 species
GUACGUACUGGCAUUGUUGGUUUCUCCCUUCUGACGAACCAUGAUGUCAUUUAUUUGGUGUUGUGGGGAAUCAGGACUGUUACUUUGAAAAAAUUAGAGUGUUUAAAGCAGGCUCACGCUUGAAUACAUUAGCAUGGAAUAAUGAAAUAGGACGUUUGAUUCUAUUUUGUUGGUUUCUAGGAUCGACGUAAUGAUUAAUAGGGAUAGUUGGGGGCAUUAGUAUUCAAUUGUCAGAGGUGAAAUUCUUGGAUUUAUUGAAGACUAACUACUGCGAAAGCAUUUGCCAAGGAUGUUUUCAUUAAUCAAGAACGAAAGUUAGGGGAUCGAAGACGAUCAGAUACCGUCGUAGUCUUAACCAUAAACUAUGCCGACUAGGGAUCGGACGCAGUUAAUUUUAUAAUGACGUGUUCGGCACCUUACG